rnacentral:rRNA from 1 species
UUGAUUAAGUUACUAAGGGCACACGGUGGAUGCCUAGGUACGAGAAGACGAUGAAGGACGUGGUAACCUGCGAUAAGCUGCGGGGAGAAGGAUACAUUCCGUGAUCCGCAGAUGUCCGAAUGGGGCAACCCACUACAGGUAACACUGUAGUAUCGCCGCCUGAAUAUAUAGGGCGGAGGAAGUCAACCCAGGGAACUGAAACAUCUAAGUACCUGGUGGAAAAGAAAUCAAAAGAGAUUUCCUGAGUAGUGGCGAGCGAAAAGGAAAGAGUCUAAACCUUGCAAUCUGUCAAGCCAGUAAGCGUUGGAUUGCAGGUGUUGCGGGGCUUUCGGAGCGAAUUACUGAUAGCUCAAAGAGUAAAAAAUCAUAAUGUUAGUUGAACAACCUGGAAAGGUUGACCAUAGAAGGUGAUAGUCCUGUAAGUUAAAGCAUUGUGACUCUUGAAAGUACCCCAAGUACCGCGGAGUAAGUGAAAGUCUGCGGGAAUCCGGGAGAACCAUCUCCUAAGACUAAAUACUCUCUCGUAACCGAUAGUGAACAAGUACCGUGAGGGAAAGGUGAAAAGAACUCCUAUUAGGAGAGUGAAAUAGUACCUGAAACCGUGUGCUUACAAGCAGUCGGAGUCUCAACUUGUUGGGAUGACGGCGUGCCUUCUGGAUAAUGAGCCUACGAGUUACUCGUCUCUUGCAUGGUUAAGAUUCUAAGAAUCGGAGCCGAAGCGAAAGCAAGUCCUAAUCGGGCGACUAAGUAAGAGGCGGUAGACGCGAAACCGGGUGAUCUAUCCUUGGCCAGGAUGAAGUGAGGGUAAAACCUCAUGGAGGUCCGAACUAGUGUGGGUUGAAAACCGCUUGGAUGAGCUGAGGAUAGGAGUGAAAGGCCAACCAAACUCGGAAAUAGCUCGUACUCCCCGAAAUAGCUUUAGGGCUAGCCUCUGUCUAAAAUGUCAUGGAGGUAGAGCACUGAUUGGGCUAGGGCUGUCACAACGGUACCAAACCCAGACAAACUCCGAAUUCCAUAGACAUGUUCACAGGGAGUCAGGCCACGAGGGAUAAGCUUCGUGGCCAAAAGGGAAAGAACCCAAAUCAUCAUCUAAGGUCCCCAAGUAGUAGUUAACAGAGAAAGGAUGUUGAGUUGCAUAGACAACUAGGAUGUUGGCUUAGAAGCAGCCAUUCAUUUAAAGAGUGCGUAAUAGCUCACUAGUCAAGCGACUCGGCGUCGACAAUUCGCGGGACUUAAACUACUCACCGAAGAUAUGGGAUCCGCUUGCGGAUCGGUAGGGGAGCAUUCUAUUCUGCACUGAAGGUGUGGCACGAGCCAUGCUGGAGCGGAUAGAAAAGCAAAUGUAGGCAUUAGUAACGAUAAAGAUGGUAAAAAACCAUCUCACCGAAAAUCUAAGGUUUCCUGAGCAACGUUAGUCGUCUCAGGGUUAGUCGGGUCCUAAGCUGAGGCUGAAAGGCGUAGGCGAUGGAAAACAGGUUAAUAUUCCUGUACCUGGCAACAAUCGUUUGACCAUAAGGAGUGACGCAGGAGUGAAAGGUAAGCCACCCGUUGGAUUAGGUGGUCUAAGGUCGUAGAUAGAACGUAUAGGCAAAUCCGUACGUUUUACGUCGAAAGCCGAAUGAGAGGGCUCAGCCCGCAAAUUUACCCUAAACAGACUGCCGAGAAAACCUUCGUAUGGGAGAUUGUUGUUGGACCGUACCGCAAACCGACACAGGUAGAUAGGAUGAGUAUUCUAAGGUGCUCGAGUGAGCCGUGGUUAAGGAACUCGGCAAAUUAACUCCGUAACUUCGGGAAAAGGAGUGCUCUGGUUUCAGAGCCGCAGAGAAAUGGCCCAAGCGACUGUUUAACAAAAACACAUGACUGUGCGAAGUCAAUCAAGACGACGUAUACGGUCUGACACCUGCCCGGUGCUGGAAGGUUAAGAGGAGAUGUCAAGAGCAAUCUGAAGCAUUGAAUCGAAGCCCCAGUAAACGGCGGCCGUAACUAUAACGGUCCUAAGGUAGCGAAAUUCCUUGUCGGGUAAGUUCCGACCUGCACGAAUGGUGUAACGAUUUGGGCACUGUCUCAACCACGGGCUCGGUGAAAUUGUGGUACCGGUGAAGACGCCGGUUACCCGCAUAUGGACGGAAAGACCCCGUGCACCUUUACUGCACCCUAAUAUUGGGUUCGGGUAAAGCAUGUGUAGGAUAGGUGGGAGGCUUUGAAGCCGGGACGCUAGUCUCGGUGGAGCCAACGGUGAAAUACCACCCUUGUUUUAUUUGGAUUCUAACCUCCUCCCGUGAAUCCGGGAGAGGAACAGUGUUAGGCGGGUAGUUUGACUGGGGCGGUCGCCUCCUAAAAUGUAACGGAGGCUCUCAAUGGUUCCCUCAGCACGGUUGGUAAUCGUGCGGCGAGUGUAAAGGCAAAAGGGAGCUUGACUGCGAGACUUACAAGUCGAGCAGGUGCGAAAGCAGGACUUAGUGAUCCGACGGUAGCGAGUGGAAGUGCCGUCGCUCAAAGGAUAAAAGGUACGCCGGGGAUAACAGGCUGAUCUUACCCAAGAGUUCAUAUCGACGGUAAGGUUUGGCACCUCGAUGUCGGCUCAUCGCAUCCUGGGGCUGAAGAAGGUCCCAAGGGUUUGGCUGUUCGCCAAUUAAAGCGGUACGUGAGCUGGGUUCAGAACGUCGUGAGACAGUUCGGUCCCUAUCCUAUGCGGGCGCAGGAAACUUGAGAAGGGUCGCCAUUAGUACGAGAGGACCGUGGCGAACGAACCUCUAUUGUACCAGUUGUCUCGCCAGAGGCACCGCUGGGUAGUUAUGUUCGGUUGUGAUAAGCGCUGAAAGCAUCUAAGCACGAAGCACGCUUCAAGAUUAGGUUUCCCAGGCAGCAAUGCCUCUAAGACCCCUCGUAGAUGACGAGGUUGAUAGGACACAGAUGUAAGCAUGGCAACAUGUUCAGUCGAGUGUUACUAAUAGGUCGAGCGGCUUAAUCUAUUAUUUUUU